rnacentral:rRNA from 1 species
UCGCGGCCUAUCAGCUUGUUGGUGAGGUAAUGGCUCACCAAGGCGACGACGGGUAGCCGGCCUGAGAGGGCGACCGGCCACACUGGGACUGAGACACGGCCCAGACUCCUACGGGAGGCAGCAGUGGGGAAUAUUGCACAAUGGGCGAAAGCCUGAUGCAGCGACGCCGCGUGAGGGAUGACGGCCUUCGGGUUGUAAACCUCUUUCAGCAGGGAAGAAGCGAAAGUGACGGUACCUGCAGAAGAAGCGCCGGCUAACUACGUGCCAGCAGCCGCGGUAAUACGUAGGGCGCAAGCGUUGUCCGGAAUUAUUGGGCGUAAAGAGCUCGUAGGCGGCUUGUCGCGUCGGUUGUGAAAGCCCGGGGCUUAACCCCGGGUCUGCAGUCGAUACGGGCAGGCUAGAGUUCGGUAGGGGAGAUCGGAAUUCCUGGUGUAGCGGUGAAAUGCGCAGAUAUCAGGAGGAACACCGGUGGCGAAGGCGGAUCUCUGGGCCGAUACUGACGCUGAGGAGCGAAAGCGUGGGGAGCGAACAGGAUUAGAUACCCUGGUAGUCCACGCCGUAAACGGUGGGCACUAGGUGUGGGCGACAUUCCACGUCGUCCGUGCCGCAGCUAACGCAUUAAGUG